CACGAAGAUGAAAUGGCACUGGGCUCCGACGGUCGUUUGACAUAAACGACCGGUCAUGACGGAUACGCCCUCUUUGUGGCAGGCCUAGAAAACCUCGCCCACUGAGA
rnacentral:snoRNA from 1 species